GACGAACGCUGGCGGCGUGCUUAACACAUGCAAGUCGAACGGAAAGGCCCUGCUUUUGUGGGGUGCUCGAGUGGCGAACGGGUGAGUAACACGUGAGUAACCUGCCCUUGACUUUGGGAUAACUUCAGGAAACUGGGGCUAAUACCGGAUAGGAGCUCCUGCUGCAUGGUGGGGGUUGGAAAGUUUCGGCGGUUGGGGAUGGACUCGCGGCUUAUCAGCUUGUUGGUGGGGUAGUGGCUUACCAAGGCUUUGACGGGUAGCCGGCCUGAGAGGGUGACCGGCAACAUUGGGAAUGAGAUACGGCACAGACUACUACGGGAGGAAGCAGUGGGGAGUAUUGCACAAUGGGCGGAAGCCUGAUGCAGCAACGCCGCGUGCGGGAUGACGGCCUUCGGGUUGUAAACCGCUUUCGCCUGUGACGAAGCGUGAGUGACGGUAAUGGGUAAAGAAGCACCGGCUAACUACGUG
rnacentral:rRNA from 1 species